rnacentral:rRNA from 1 species
UACGUAGGUGGCAAGCGUUUGUCCGGAUUUAUUGGGUUUAAAGGGUGCGUAGGCGGUCUUAUAAGUCAGUGGUGAAAUACGGCAGCUCAACUGUCGAGGUGCCAUUGAUACUGGGAAACUUGAGUACUGAUGAGGUAGGCGGAAUGGACGGUGUAGCGGUGAAAUGCUUAGAUAUCGUCCAGAACACCGAUAGCGAAGGCAGCUUACUAAGGAGUAACUGACGCUGAGGCACGAAAGUGUGGGGAUCAAACAGG